AAUAGUUGUAAAAGUGGUGUAUUUCUAUGAAAAAACUGCUUGCAUAAGAGAUUUCAAAAAAUUAGAUUUUUCACUUUCAGAAAAGAGAAAAAUAGACGUUGCAUUAGAACUUUGAAUGGUCGAAAAUAUUAUGAUGUCAGAUUUUCAUUAUCUUUUCUAGUUUAUGAGUUCUAAAUGACAGACAGGUAUUCCACACAAAACUAAUAGCAUCUUUUCCCCUUUUGGGGGCCACUAAAAAUGAAAUCUCUGAAAAUUGUUUAAACAUAGAGCUUUUAAAGAUCAUGCACAUCUUUUAUUAAGAACAAUCUAAAGUUCAGAUAAUC